UACGAAGGGGGCUAGCGUUGCUCGGAUUGACUGGGCGUAAAGAGCUCGUAGGCGGUCUGUUGCGUCCGCUGUGAAAACUCGGGGCUUAACCCCGAGCCUGCAGUGGAUACGGGCAGACUAGAGGUAGGUAGGGGAGAAUGGAAUUCCCGGUGUAGCGGUGAAAUGCGCAGAUAUCGGGAGGAACACCGGUGGCGAAGGCGGUUCUCUGGGCCUUACCUGACGCUGAGGGGCGAAAGCGUGGGGAGCGAACAGG
rnacentral:rRNA from 1 species